UCUCUCUCUCUCUCACAUUCACACACACUCUCUCUCUACUCACUAUUCACUGUACCUCUUCUCUCUUUCUCUCUGCUUGAUCCACCAUUUCUUGCAGAGAAAAAGAAAGGAAAAAAAUGGUGGCACUCAAGAAGAAAUUCCCCAUGUCUAAUUCCCAUUUUACCCCUAUUACAUUCACUUAUUUACUACUCCUGUCCUUCUCAUCCUCCGCCACUCCCAUUCUUGCCAUCAACAUCACCACCCUCCUUUCUUCCUACCCUGACUUCUCCUCCUUCACUGCUCUUCUUUCCUCUACAUCUUCCUUGGCUUAUGACCUCACUCAUCGCUCUUCCCUCACUCUUUUAGCUGUACCCAAUUCGUAUCUCUCCGCCUCCGUUGAAAUCACGCGCCACCUCUCUCCCUUCUCUCUUGCCGACCUCCUUCGUUAUCAUGUCCUUUUGCAGUACUUCUCCUGGUCUGACCUCCAGCAGAUCCCUACCACUGGUGUUCUUGUUACCACUCUCUUUCAAACCACUGGACGCGCCGCCUCCAAUUCCGGCACGGUUAACAUUACCCGGAAUCCCAUCACCAACACCGUCACCAUCAAUUCUCCGUCCCCUUACUCUGGUUCAAACGCCACCGUUUUGUCUCUGUUGAAAACCCGUCCAUACAACAUCUCCAUCCUUUCUGUUAAUUCCCUUUUAGUCCCCGAUGGGUUCAAUCUCAUGGCAUCGGAGACUCGGCCUCCAUUAGGCCUAAACAUAACGAAAGCACUUAUAGAUGGGCAUAAUUUUUUUGUGGCCGCAUCGAUGCUAUCGGCUUCUGGGGUGGUGGAUGAAUUUGAAGCCGAUGAAAGAGGCGCCGGAAUUACUCUCUUUGUCCCAACAGACUCCGCUUUUGCAGAUCUGCCGGCCACCGUGAGCUUACAGUCACUACCAGCUGACAAAAAAGCUGUGGUCUUGAAGUUCCAUGUCUUGCAUUCGUAUUACCCACUGGGUUCCCUCGAGUCGAUUGUGAACCCAGUCCAGCCCACAUUGGCCACGGAAGCCACCGGCGCUGGUAGCUACACACUCAACAUCUCGAGAGUUAAUGGGUCGGUGGCAAUCGAUUCAGGGAUAGUUCAGGCAUCGGUGACGCAAACGGUUAUCGAUCAGAAUCCAGUUGCGAUAUUUGGGGUGUCGAAAGUUUUGUUGCCGAGGGAGAUUUUUGGGAAGAAUUCGAUAGCGACAAGUAAGCCUGGAAAUGGCGUGAUGGGCGCCGCUCAGCCACCGGAUAUUUCUCUAUCGCCAGAGAGUGCUCCCGGAUCGGAUGGGCGGCCUUCUCAUCUGUCGUCACCCCCAGGUUUUAGAGAAGACAUGAAAUCCGGAGGCAGAGCUGAACCGGCCAUUGAUGGAUUACAGAGCCUGAUCUUUGCUGUGUGUUGUACAGGAUUGUAUUUAGCAAUAUGAGCUUUUUAAUUAUUUUUGCUGAUAAUUAAUGAUUUUCCAUUUUUGUUUUCCUAUUUGUACACGGUGAUUGAAUUUGGCUAAAUAAGCAGCCAGUUUUUUUUUCCUAUUUUUCUUUAUUUUUUUUUUGGAAUUCUAGAGGGAGAUGUCUAAUUGUUAAUUUAAUUAUGUCAAUGUUUCAAUAAUUUGUAUAAGAAAAACACUAAUUUCUGUUUGCCUUGUUUUGUUGAAAAUUUGGGAUUUAAAAUUUAGAUUCCCAAUGGGAUUCAUCAAAACCCAGUUUGCCUUCUUGGCUUGUUGUUUUAUUUUUGUGUCUGAGAAAAAGUGAUUGUUUUCCAGGUAAAAUCUUGAAUUCUCUGUGGCGUUUCCAGAACCUCAAAAUUCUUAUUUCUCAAUUCUGAUGCUGAGUUUUGGGCAUUUGGCCCUGCCUUUGACAGGCUGGGAGCAACCUGGUAGGAAAUUCCAAAGGUUUAUCAAUUAUAGCUUUUCCACUACAUUACACAAAUCUACUCUGCUCAGCAGUAAUCAAAGUGGCUUAUCAAUUAUAAAAAAAAUGGAAUCAGAUCCCUGUCUUUCUGGUAUUUUCAUUUUGGUUUUUGAUGCUAUUGUUGUUUGGAACCUGCAAAGUGAGACUGAGAUCUGACGGUUUAGUCCCUAGACACUCAAGUCAAUCACUCGACACUUAAGUCAGUCUGGUAUUUAAUGCGCUUGUAAGCUUCAAAAGAGAGGAGAGUGCUCAAUUUAGCAGAGUAGAUGUACCUGAAGCCUGAAGCUGCAUUACCUCAUAUAAACCACCAAAGUCUUGUUCUUGCAAUCUUUGAGAAUCUAGAGUUAGAUAAAAUCCCUGAAAUAUUAGGCAAGAAUAUUUCCGAGUGGUUCGAUUGCGGCCAACCCAAUGAGGUUCCCGGCUAUAAGCAACCAACUAGAGCCAUUUGAGGAUUAAGAAUUAUAUGCCCUAGCCGCCAUCCGAAUAAAC
rnacentral:misc_RNA from 1 species